AUGAACGCUGGCGGCGUGCCUAAUACAUGCAAGUCGAGCGAACAGACGAGGAGCUUGCUCCUCUGACGUUAGCGGCGGACGGGUGAGUAACACGUGGAUAACCUACCUAUAAGACUGGGAUAACUUCGGGAAACCGGAGCUAAUACCGGAUAAUAUAUUGAACCGCAUGGUUCAAUAGUGAAAGACGGUUUUGCUGUCACUUAUAGAUGGAUCCGCGCCGCAUUAGCUAGUUGGUAAGGUAACGGCUUACCAAGGCAACGAUGCGUAGCCGACCUGAGAGGGGGAUCGGCCACACUGGAACUGAGACACGGUCCAGACUCCUACGGGAGGCAGCAGUAGGGAAUCUUCCGCAAUGGGCGAAAGCCUGACGGAGCAACGCCGCGUGAGUGAUGAAGGUCUUCGGAUCGUAAAACUCUGUUAUUAGGGAAGAACAAAUGUGUAAGUAACUAUGCACGUCUUGACGGUACCUAAGCAGAAAGCCACGGCUAACUACGU
rnacentral:rRNA from 1 species